rnacentral:rRNA from 1 species
GACGAACGCUGGCGGCGUGCUUAACACAUGCAAGUCGAACGGGUCUGCCCUGUUUUUUGCGGGGUGGGUCAGUGGCGAACGGGUGAGUAACACGUGAGUAACCUGCCCCUCACUUCUGGAUAACCGCUUGAAAGGGUGGCUAAUACGGGGUGUUCUGGCUGUGCCGCAUGGUGUGGCUGGGAAAGAUUCACUGUUGUGGUGUUGUGGGGGGGGAUGGGCUGGCGGCCUAUCAGCUUGUUGGUGGGGUGAUGGGCUGCCAAGGCGUUGACGGGUAGCCGGCAUGAGAGGGUGGGCGGUAACAAUGGGAAUGCGCGACGGACCAGACUCCUGCGGGAGGCAGCAGUGGGGGGUAUUGCACAAUGGGCGGAAGGCUGAUGCCGCGACGUCGGGUGAGGGAUGGAGGCCGUAGGGUUGUGAACCUCUUUCGCCGGUGAAGAAGGUCCUGCUCUUUGUGGUGGGGUUGACGGUAGCCGGGUUAUGAAGCGCCGGCUAACUACGUG